rnacentral:lncRNA from 1 species
GGAAAAUGAUACGGGGCUUGCUUCUCCAUGGUCACGCGAAGGACAGCAGAGAAGAGACUGGACACAAGGCUGCACUCCUAAGAGUCUGGCAGGCACAUCGACAAUUACAUAUGAAAAACUGUCCGCAACCGUGGGGAACAGACACUGAUCUCACUUUUGUGAAUGAGAAAGCAGGAGAACUACAGACACAGUGGUUGCAUGUGCUCCAGUGAAAUAGCCCAAAC